rnacentral:rRNA from 1 species
AGAGCGUAGGGUGAAUGCCUUGGCACUAGAAGCCGAUGAAGGACGCGAUAAGCUGCGAUAAGCUACGAGGAGGCGCAAAUAGCUGUUGAUACGUAGAUUUCCGAAUGGGGAAACCCACCUGGGGUAAAUGCUCAGGUACCUGCAUGUGAAUACAUAGCAUGUAGGAGGGAGACGCGGGGAACUGAAACAUCUAAGUACCCGCAGGAAAAGAAAACAAAAGUGAUUCCGCAAGUAGUGGCGAGCGAACGCGGAGAAGCCCAAACCGAAAUACUUAGGUAAUUCGGGGUUAGGACUGUCAAAAGAACUUGGAUCAUAGCAGAAUGAGCAGUUGGAAAGCUGCGACCGUAGAGGGUAAAAGUCCCGUAUGCGAAAUGAGAAGAGUCUGGACAGUAUCCAGAGUACCACGAGACACGAGAAACCUUGUGGGAAUAUGGGAGGACCACCUUCCAAGGCUAAAUACUAACUAGUGACCGAUAGUGAAGCAGUACCGUGAGGGAAAGGUGAAAAGAACCCCGGGAGGGGAGUGAAAGAGAACCUGAAACCCUAUGUUUACAAGCAGUUGAAGAGCGUUAAUGCUCGACAGCGUACUUUUUGUAGAACGGUCCGGCGAGUUAUUGUAUGUGGCAAGGUUAAGUACUUUAAAGGUACGGAGCCGUAGGGAGACCGAGUCUUAAUAGGGCGUUUAGUCGCAUGUAAUAGACCCGAAACCGGGUGACCUACCCAUGGACAGGUUGAAGCGAGAGUAAAAUCUCGUGGAGGACCGAACCCGUGAACGUUGAAAAGUUCUGGGAUGAGCUGUGGGUGGCGGAGAAAUUCCAAUCGAACUCGGAUAUAGCUGGUUCUCCCCGAAAUAGCUUUAGGGCUAGCCUUAAGUUAUUCUACUGGAGGUAAAGCACUGAAUGGACUAGGGGCCUUACCGGGUUACCGAAUCCUAUCAAACUAAGAAUGCCAGAUAGAAGAUGCUUAGGAGUCAGACUAUGUGAGAUAAGUUUCAUAGUCAAAAGGGAAACAGCCCAGACCAUCAGCUAAGGUCCCAAAAUCGUAGUUAAGUGGAAAAGGAUGUGGAUUUGCUAAGACAGCUAGGAUGUUGGCUUAGAAGCAGCCAUUCAUUCAAAGAGUGCGUAAUAGCUCACUAGUCGAGUGAAUCCGCGCCUAAAAUUAUCGGGGCUAAAACUACGUACCGAAGCAAUGGAUAUAUACUUUUAGUAUAUAUGGUAGGGGAGCUUACUAUAGUAGGUUGAAGCAUGAUCGUAAGGACAUGUGGACGAGAUAGUAGUGAGAAUGCCGGAAUAAGUAGCGCAAGUAAAGUGAGAAUCUUUACCGUCGAAAACCUAAGGUUUCCUGGGGAAGGGUCGUCCGCCCAGGGUAAGUCAGGACCUAAGCUGAGGCUGAAAAGCGUAAGCGAUGGACAACAGGUUGAUAUUCCUGUACUACCGUUACUCGAUAUUAGAGAUGUGGGGACGCAGGGGGAUAAGUUAAGCGAGCAGCUGGAAAAGCUCGUCCAAGGGAAGUAGAUAGUUUAGUAGGAAAAUCCGCUAGACGUUUCGAAAGCCUGAUGGGGAGGGAAAUUAAGUACCGAAGUAACUGAUUCCGCACUGACAAGAAAAGCCACUAUCGAGAGUAAAGGUACCUGUACCGCAAACCGACACAGGUAGGUGAGGAGAGAAUCCUAAGACGAACGGGAGAAGCAUUGUUAAGGAACUCGGCAAAUUAACCCCGUAAGUUAGCGAGAAGGGGUGCCUCAGAGAUGAGGCCGCAGUGAAAAGGCCCAAGCAACUGUUUAUCAAAAACACAGGUCUCUGCUAAAUCGAAAGAUGAAGUAUAGGGGCUGACGCCUGCCCGGUGCUGGAAGGUUAAGGGGAACUGUAAGGAGUAAUCCGAAGCAGAGAACUUAAGCCCCAGUAAACGGCGGCCGUAACUAUAACGGUCCUAAGGUAGCGAAAUUCCUUGUCAGGUAAGUUCUGACCCGCACGAAUGGCGUAAUGACUUGGGCACUGUCUCAACAAUGCACCCGGCGAAAUUGUAGUACUUGUGAAGAUGCAAGUUACCCGCGACAAGACGGAAAGACCCCAUGGAGCUUUACUGUAGCCUGAUAUUGGGUUUCGAUAUUUUUUGUACAGGAUAGGUGGGAGACUAGGAAGUUAGCGCGCUAGCGUUGAUGGAGUCGCUGUUGGGAUACCACUCUAAAAAUAUUGGAAUUCUAACCAUGGUCCAUAAACUGGAUUUGGGACAUUGUCAGGUGGGCAGUUUGACUGGGGCGGUCGCCUCCAAAAGAGUAACGGAGGCGUCCAAAGGUUACCUCAGCGCGGUUGGAAAUCGCGCGACGAGUGCAAAGGCAUAAGGUAGCCUGACUGCGAGACCUACAAGUCGAGCAGGUACGAAAGUAGGGCUUAGUGAUCCGGCGGAAUGAGAGUGGAAUUGCCGUCGCUCAACGGAUAAAAGCUACCCUGGGGAUAACAGGCUUAUCUCCCCCAAGAGUCCACAUCGACGGGGAGGUUUGGCACCUCGAUGUCGGCUCAUCGCAUCCUGG